CGGAUUGUAAACUCCUGUUGCCCGGGACGAAUGGCUCCAACCUAAUACGUUGGAGUGUGACGGUACCGGGUGAGGAAGCCCCGGCUAACUCUGUGCCAGCAGCCGCGGUAAUACAGAGGGGGCAAGCGUUGUUCGGAAUUACUGGGCGUAAAGGGCGCGUAGGCGGCCUGUUAAGUCGAACGUGAAAUCCCCGGGCUCAACCCGGGAACUGCGUCCGAUACUGGCAGGCUUGAAUCCGGGAGAGGGAUGCGGAAUUCCAGGUGUAGCGGUGAAAUGCGUAGAUAUCUGGAGGAACACCGGUGGCGAAGGCGGCAUCCUGGACCGGCAUUGACGCUGAGGCGCGAAAGCCAGGGGAGCAAACGGGAUUAGAUACCCCGGUAGUCCUGGCCCUAAACGAUGAAUGCUUGGUGUGGCGGGUAUCGAUCCCUGCCGUGCCGAAGCUAACGCAUUAAGCAUUCCGCCUGGGGAGUACGGUCGCAAGGCUGACACUCAGAGGAAUUGACGGGGGCCCGCACAAACGGUGGAGCAUGUGGUUUAAUUCGACGCGACGCGAAGAACCU
rnacentral:rRNA from 1 species